rnacentral:rRNA from 1 species
GUAAAGUCAGGACCACUCACUUCAGUGGAGCUGGAUAUACACACCCUAGGGGUAUGUUCUUCCAGCAACACCAUAUUCAGACACUCUGUGAGGUCUAGUUGGGUUCACGGACACUCAACCAAGCAUACUACCAGGUACAUUCCCGGUAAUGCAAUGUGCGUUCAAAAUUUUGAUGAUUCCGAAAUCGUGCAAUUCAUAUUACAUAUCGCAUUUCGCUGCGUUCUUCAUCGUUGUAGGAGCCAAGAAAUCCAUUGCUGAAAGUUGUAUUACAUUAGUAAUGAUAGAGAUAGGGGAACAGGGACACAGGCUGGUAUGCCAGGUACCCCGUCCCGCACCUAUUUCCUUUGAUUUCUGGUUUAUUUUGUAUCUAAUUUCAGUAGUGGGGUCGGCAGGUUGCAUGUACUAGCCAUGUGAGUUCAACAAGAUGUACAAGUUAGUACUCACAGGCCUAUACACACAGAGAACCACCUUUCAGUAAAAAGUUUUAUAUCAUAGGGUCGCAGGAGGUGGUGAACUCGACACGACAUGACAUGGGUCAGUCUACAGCCAGAGUCUACCACCAACCAUGCUAUUUCUCGGGAGUUGAGAUCUUAGAUCGGUGUGGUAAUGAUCCUUCCGCAGGUUCACCUACGGAAACCUUGUUACGACUUCACCUUCCUCUAAGUGAUAAGGUUCGGACAAGUUCUCGCGGUGAGUUUCCAAUAAAGGAAGCUAACUACAAUCCCGAGGCCUCACCGGAACACUCAAUCGGUAGGUGCGACGGGCGGUGUGUACAAAGGGCAGGGACGUAAUCAAUGCAGAUUGAUGAUCUGCGUUUACUAGGAAUUCCUCGUUCACGAUUAAAAGUUGCAAUAAUCGAUCCCUAUCACGAUGCACAUUACAAGAUUGCCCAGGCCUCUCGGCCAAGGUUAUAAGCUCGUUGAAUGCAUCAGUGUAACACGCGUGCGGUUCAGAACAUCUAAGGGCAUCACAGACCUGUUAUUGCCUCAAUCUUCCUAAAGUUUGAUACUUUAUGUCCCUCUAAGAAACAGCCGCCAAUGAAAGAUCAUUAACGCUAUUAUUUAGCAGGCUGAGGUCUCGUUCGUUAACGGAAUUAACCAGACAAAUCACUCCACCAACUAAGAACGGCCAUGCACCACCACCCAUAGAAUCAAGAAAGAGCUCUCAAUCUGUCAAUCCUAACUAUGUCUGGACCUGAUAAGUUUUCCCGUGUUGGGUCAAAUUAAGCCGCAGGUUCCACUCCUGGUGGUGCCCUUCCGUCAAUUUCUUUAAGUUUCAGCCUUGCGACCAUACUCCCCCCGGAACCCAAAGACUUUGAUUUCUCAUACAGUGCAGACGAGGACAAAUGUCACCCGCCCAUCCUGAGUCGGCAUAGUUUAUGGUGUAGACUACGACGGUAUCUAAUCAUCUUCGAUCCCCACACUUUCGUUCUUGAUCAAUGAAAACAUCCCUGGUAAAUGCUUUCGCAGUAGUUCGUCUUCCGUUAAUCUAAGAAUUUCACCUCUUACAACUGAAUACGAAUACCCACAACUGUCCCUAUUCAUCAUUACCACGGCGCGCAAACCAACAAAAUAGCACUGUGGUCCUAUCUUAUUAUUCCAUGCUAAUAUGUUCAACGACAUAAGUCUGCUUUGAACACUCCAAUUAACUCACAGUAAAUGAUGGGAAUCCCCAGCCCGACAACUCAAUGCCAGACAGGCUCCUCCCAAGGAUGGCCGGAGAGAGCAAGUACCCACCUUAAAGGUCGGACCGCACUCUCCCACCAGAAAUUCGACUACGAGCUUUUUAACUGCAACAACUAAAAUAUACGCUAUUGGAGCUGGAAUUACCGCGGCUGCUGGCACCAGACUUGCCCUCCAAUUGAUCCUCGAUAAGGGAUUUAAAUUGUUCUCAUUCCAAUUGCCAGACCUCGAAAGAGGCCCGGCAUUGUUAUUUAUUGUCACUACCUCUCUGUGUCAGAAUUGGGUAAUUUACGCGCCUGCUGCCUUCCUUGGAUGUGGUAGCCGUUUCUCAGGCUCCCUCUCCGGAAUCGAACCCUAAUUCCCCGUUACCCGUUGAUACCAUGGUAGGCCACUAUCCUACCAUCGAAAGUUGAUAGGGCAGAAAUUUGAAUGAACCAUCGCCGGCGCAAGGCCAUGCGAUUCGUUAAGUUAUUAUGAAUCACCAAGGAGCCCCGAAGGGCAUUGGUUUUUUAUCUAAUAAAUACACCCCUUCCGAAGUCGGGGUUUUUAGCAUGUAUUAGCUCUAGAAUUACCACGGUUAUCCAUGUAGUAAGGUACUAUCAAAUAAACGAUAACUGAUUUAAUGAGCCAUUCGCAGUUUCACAGUAUAGAUUGCUUAUACUUAGACAUGCAUGGCUUAAUCUUUGAGACAAGCAUAUGACUACUGG